rnacentral:lncRNA from 1 species
GCAAAAUGUGCUCCUUGAGGUUCAGGUGAUGACUGACAGGUGCAGACCUCUGCAUGGAGGGCCGUUCCCUGCUCCUGGGCUGCGUGUUGCGACCUAGGCCCGUGCACAGGAGACCCUGAAGAAGCUGCACCCGAGCGCAAUGAAGACGAGGGUAAGCGCGCCAUGUGGACGCCUUUGCAUCAGGAUGCCAGGAAUUCGCCCACUCUCGGUGGAGGCCACAAGGCCGGCCUCGCUAGGCCCCCUCUCUGCUGCCCAACCCUCGCCUGCCUUCCUUCGAGGGGGCUACCGAGUCUCCCGCGCCAGGGUGGACACCUCCACUCCCCCUUGCCCCCGGGGACGCACCGAGCGCCUGCACCCUCCUCGGCUCGCCCCCUCCCGGCCUUUGUGUGGUGCGGGACCCCGGCCCGCCGCCCCUGUGAACCGCCUGCCCCGCGCGGAGGCGGGGGCACUUUUCAAUGCCUCGCCGCAGCUCCCUCCAGAUUUGUAAUCCGCCAAAAAGCCGCUGAUUGCUGCAAUCGUUACUUUUCAUUAAAAAAACUUAGAAGCAAUUUGGGAGAACUCUUCUCAAUGAAUACAUUUACCCCCGAACGGUCUUUAUUCUCCGCCUCCACUUGAUGAGUUUCUGUGGCACGAAUCCGUUCUUACAGGCACAGAAUGGGCAAUCCCUUGAUCCCCGUCAAUUGUCAUCCCGAGUCGGGGCCACUUUGACCGCCAAUAGCGGGGAAGUCAGAGCUAAUCCUCAGAAG